rnacentral:rRNA from 1 species
GCUAUGGUAGUAACUUAGUGGCAAACGGGUGAGUAAUGUAAUAGGAAUUCUACCUAGGUAGUACGGAACAAUUGUUAGGAAACGGCAACCUAAUACCGUAUACGCCCUACGGGGGAAAGAUUUAUUGCUAUUAGAUAGAGCCUAUAUUAGAAUUAGCUAGUUGGUGGGGUAAUGGCCUACCAAGGCAGUGAUCUAUAGCUGAUCUGAGAGGAUGAUCACGCCACACUGGAACUGAGAUACGGUCCAG